UUGAUCAAGCUACAAAGAGCGCAUCAUGGAUGCCUUGGUGCCAAUAGGCGAUGAAGGACGUGGUAAGCUGCGAUAAGCUACGGACAGCGGCAAACACGCUUUGACCCGUAGAUUUCCGAAUGGGGUAACCUGAGCGGGGUAAUACCUGCUCGAGCUUGUGUGAAUCCAUAGCACAGGCAUCGCGACACCCGGUGAAGUGAAACAUCUCAGUAACCGGAGGAAAAGAAAGCGAAAGCGAUUCCGUCAGUAGUGGCGAGCGAAAGCGGAAGAGGCUAAACCCCUGUCAUUUCAGGAUCCAAACUGGAAGACGAGACAGAAUGGACAGAAUUAUGCAGAAUCAGAAGACGACAUUUUCUGAGUCUAGAUUCGGUUCAUUUUGUUUAUUCUGUCCGAAAUUUGGGUGUUGAAGUGACAGGGGGGUUGGAGGAGCCCGAUGUGGUAGUGCAAAGGUUAGGUGAAGCUUCUGGAAAGCUGCGCCAUAGAGGGUGAAAGGCCCGUAACCGAAAACCGGAGCACGCCUAGGGAUUUCCUGAGUAAUACGAUGCACGUGAAACUUCGUAUGAAUCUGCGCCGACCACGGCGUAAGCCUAAAUACUCAUUGGCGACCGAUAGUGAACAAGUACCGCGAGGGAAAGGUGAAAAGAACCGCUGUGAGCGGAGUGAAAUAGUACCUGAAAUGAUGUGCUUACAAGGUGUCAAAGUCCGCCUCGGCGGAUGAUGGCGUGCCUUUUGCUUAAUGAGUCUGCGAGUUACUAUCAGUGGCGAGCCUAAGUCGUUCUGCGAUGGAGGCGAAGCGAAAGCGAGUCCGAAAUGGGCGUCUUAGUCGCUGGUAGUAGACCCGAAGCGGAGGUGAUCUACCCAUGAGCAGGAUGAAAGUUGCUUAACCGCAACUGAAGGUCCGAACCCGUGACGGUUGAAAACGUCUGGGAUGACUUGUGGGUAGGAGCGAAAGACUAAUCAAACCCCGUGAUAGCUGGUUCUCCCCGAAAUAGCUUGAGGGCUAGCCUCGUGUGCUGACCGGCGGAGGUAGAGCACUGGCUGAACUAGGGCCCAUACCAGGG
rnacentral:rRNA from 1 species